rnacentral:rRNA from 1 species
UGGGGAAUUUUGGACAAUGGGCGAAAGCCUGAUCCAGCAAUGCCGCGUGUGUGAAGAAGGCCUUCGGGUUGUAAAGCACUUUUGUCCGGAAAGAAAUCCUUGGCUCUAAUACAGUCGGGGGAUGACGGUACCGGAAGAAUAAGCACCGGCUAACUACGUGCCAGCAGCCGCGGUAAUACGUAGGGUGCAAGCGUUAAUCGGAAUUACUGGGCGUAAAGCGUGCGCAGGCGGUUUGCUAAGACCGAUGUGAAAUCCCCGGGCUCAACCUGGGAACUGCAUUGGUGACUGGCAGGCUAGAGUAUGGCAGAGGGGGGUAGAAUUCCACGUGUAGCAGUGAAACGCGUAGAGAUGUGGAGGAAUACCGAUGGCGAAGGCAGCCCCCUGGGCCAAUACUGACGCUCAUGCACGAAAGCGUGGGGAGCAAACAGGAUUAGAUACCCUGGUAGUCCACGCCCUAAAACGAUGUCAACUAGUUGUUGGGGAUUCAUUUCCUUAGUAACGUAGCUAACGCGUGAAGUUGACCGCCUGGGGAGUACGGUCGCAAGAUUAAAACUUAAAUGAAUUGACGGGGUCAAGCUGUUUCCU